rnacentral:pre_miRNA from 1 species
UUAACUCAAAUUUGUAUGGAGUUGGACCGUUUGCCGCUAGGAGCGCUUUUCCAACUGCAUACAGAUUUUUGUUU